rnacentral:rRNA from 1 species
GACGAACGCUGGCGGCGUGCUUAACACAUGCAAGUCGAACGGAAAGGCCCUGCUUUUGUGGGGUGCUCGAGUGGCGAACGGGUGAGUAACACGUGAGUAACCUGCCCUUGACUUUGGGAUAACUUCAGGAAACUGGGGCUAAUACCGGAUAGGAGCUCCUGCUGCAUGGUGGGGGUUGGAAAGUUUCGGCGGUUGGGGAUGGACUCGCGGCUUAUCAGCUUGUUGGUGGGGUAGUGGCUUACCAAGGCUUUGUCGGGUAGCCGGCCUGAGAGGGUGACCGGCCACAUUGGGACUGAGAUACGGCCCAGACUCCUACGGGAGGCAGCAGUGGGGAAUAUUGCACAAUGGGCGGAAGCCAGAUGCAGCAACGCCGCGUGCGGGAUGACGGCCUUCGGGUUGUAAACCGCUUUCGCCUGUGACGAAGCGUGAGUGACGGUAAUGGGUAAAGAAGCACCGGCUAACUACGUG